rnacentral:lncRNA from 1 species
CCUCCUUGAUCUCGUGGUAGAUCCACUCUUGUACUACCCAUAUCAUCAAUAUUAAUCAAGCAGGACGUAGGGUUUUACCUCCAUCAAGAGGGCCCGAACCUGGGUAAAACAUCAUGUCCCUUGUCUCCUGUUACCAUCCGCCUAGACGCACAGUUCGGGACCCCCUACCCGAGAUCCGCCGGUUUUGACACCGACAACCACCUAUCGGAACCACACCAAAAUCUCCGUGUCUACAUUGCGUUUGCUCCCUCCAAACUCCUCCCUUUUACCUUCAUAUGCAAUGAUUUACAUUCCGCUGCUAUACUCUUAGAAUUGCAUGCGUAGGUUGAUUACAUCACUUGUAUUAAGUUGCUAAAAUCUGCCAAGAAUUAAAAUUGGGAAAAGGCUAGAUUUUUAUUUGGUAAAGUAGUCUAAUCACCCCCCCCUCUCUAGAAAAACUUUUGAUCCUACAACCCAUGAAGGGUCACAGUUGCUGUAACGCCCUCGAUGCGGCUAUAUCUCCCACGUGUCGAAGCACGCCUUAGAGGCAUAACCGCAUUGAAAGCAAUGUUGCAAGUGAGGUAAUCUUCGCACAACCCAUGUAAUACAUAAGGGAAAAGAGAUACAUAGUUGGCUUACAGUCGCCACUUCACACAAUACAUAAAUAAACAUCCAUCAUUUAGUUUACAAUCAAGGUCCGACUACGGAACCAAAAUAAAAGAAGACUACCCCAAAUGCAACACAGGUCCCCGAUCGCCCCAACCGGGCUCUACUACUGAUCGUCUGGAAAUGAAACAUAGUAACGACCAAGGGCCUCAUCAAAUUCCCACUUCAGCUCAGUUGCGCCCUCUGCGCUGGUAUCAUCGGUACCUCCAUCUGUUUUGGUAGAAUCUGUGAGCCACGGGGACUCAGCAAUCUCACACCCGCGAGAUCAAGACUAUUUAAGCUUAAGGGAAGGCUGGUGUAAUGAGGUGGAGCUGCAGCAAGCGACUAGCAUAUAUGGUGGCUACGAUCGCAAAAGAGAGCGAGAAGAGAAGCAAGGCACAGUCGUGAAGCUAGUAGCGAUCAAGAAGUGAUCCUGAAACUACUUACGCCAAACAUAACUCCAACACCGUGUUCACUUCCUAGACUCCGCCGAGAAGAGACCAUCACGGUUACAUACACGGUUGAUGUAUUUUAAUUAAGGUCAACUUCGGGUUUUCUACAACCGGACAUUAACAAAUUCCCAUCUGCCUCAUAACCGCGGGCACGGCUUUCGAAAGAUAAUACCCUGCAGGGGUGUCCCAACUUAGCCCGUCACAAGCUCUCACGGUCAAUGAAGGAAUAAACCUUCUCCCGGGAAGACCCGAUCAGUCUCAGAUUGCCGGUUCGCAUGACAUUUCAACAAUGGUAAAACUAGACCAGCAAGACCCCCGACUGUGCCGACAAAUCCCGAUAGGAGCUGCACAUAUCUCGUUCUCAGGGCACACCGGAUGAGACAGGCUACGAGUAAAGCCAGACUUCGAGUUUCCCCGAGGUGGCCCCGCAGGCGGCUCGGUUCGGACCAACGCUCGAAGGAGCACUGGCCCGGGGGGGGGCUAAAAUAAAGAUGACCCUCGGGCUCGCGAAAACCCAAGGGAAAAAGGGUAUAGGUGGCAAAUGGUAAAACCAAGGUUGGGCCUUGCUGGAGGAGUUUUAUUCAAGGCGAACUGUCACGGGGGUCCCAUAAAUCACCCAACCGCGUAAGGAACGCAAAAUCAAGGAACAUAACACCGGUAUGACGGAAACUAGGGCGGCAAGAGUGGAACAAAACACCAGGCAUAAGGCCGAGUCUUCCACCCUUUACUAAGUAUAUAGAUGCAUUAAUUAAAACAAUAAAUAUUGUGAUAUCCCAAAAUAUCCGUGUUCCAACAAGGAACAAACUUCAUCUUCACCUGCAACUAGCAACGCUAUAAGAGGGGCUGAGCAAAGCGGUAACAUAGCCAAUCAAUGGUUUGCUAGGACAUGGAUGGUUAGAGGUUUGACAAGGCAAUAUGGGUGGCAUGAUAUAGCAAGUGGUAGGUAUCGCAGCAUAGGCAUAGCAAAAGAGCGAGCAUCUAGCAAGCAAAGAUAGAAGUGAUAUCGAAGGUAUGGUCAUCUUGCCUGCAAGGUUCUCAGAGUUGUCGAAGGCUUGAUCCUCGUAGGCGUUCUCAACAGGUUCCUCGUUCACGUACUCGUUUCCCGGCUCUACCCAAAGCAAGAAUACAAGCAAUGGGACCACAAUCAAACAAGGAGCAAUGCACAAGCAAUAUGAUGCAAUACAUGACAUGCUAUGCGAGAUGUGAAAUGCAAUGCAUAUGUGUGCUCCGGAAGGAAAAUGAUGAACCGGGCAUCAACUUGGCAAACCAAGUAUGCCGCUGGAAAGAUGAGAUGAUUUCGGUUGAAAUCGAUAUAAAGAUCACCGGAAUCGGAUGCACGGUUUACAAAUGACAAGCAAAACAAGAAUGACGCGAAUCUGCGUUUAACAGCACGAUGCUACUUAGCAUGCAACAAGAAACUAUGCUACAGCAUCCCAACAUACAAACAAAGCAUAUGGCAGUGAUCUACAGGAGAUCCUUAACAAAAGAGGAACACUGAGCUACGGCUAAAACACAUCAUAACAGGCUCAAUCAAGCAUGGUGAAAGUGCAAAAAAUAUCAGGUUCACAGACUUAUAAUAGCAUGCCAGAAAUUAACAUCAGGAAGGCAUGUUUAGAGCAAGCAAACAACAAGCUACAGGAACUUAUAAUAGCAAAACAAGACAUGAAAGGAAUCUACUCAAAGCAUAGAUCAAAAGUCCCUUACUGACCAUAAGCCAAAAAGGACUAGAGGAUAUGAUGGCACGCAUGUAAACAUAGCAAGUUUCAUUACAGAUCUCAGACUUGGCAGAAAAAGUGGGCAUGGCAAAAACAGAUAUCAAGUAGGCAUGUUCGUGAGCUCGAUGCACUCACUACAGAGCAUCUCAUGAUAAACUAAGCAUACACCCAUCAAGAAGACAUGGAAUAGAAGCUAUACAUGGCAAGAACAACAUCAUAGCAUACACGGUUCAACUACAUCAACCUUGUGAAAAUUGAAUCUCAUGCAAACAAUCUGCCAGGAAAUAUUUUGAAGCAAAAGUAGAGCACGAAAAUAACAUGCUAGACUACUCCAUAAAUGCCAACAAAGGCAUGGAUGGAUAGAGCACAUCCAUAUGUUCAAAACACCCUUACUGAUCAUGCUCAAAAAGGGCAUGGAUCUCUCUGUAACAACAUGAACAUAUGGCAUAAAAAUAACAGCAGGACAUGACUUAGUGAAAACACUAAGUUCCUGAAAUCAGCAACAUUAUCAUCCCUAGUUUGCAUGCUUGUUCUAGUCACCACAUAGAUCACAAAAAUACAUGGCAUACACCCCUGGAAAGAUGGCAUGGCAUAGUUCAACACACAUGUAGGACUCAAGUUCAUAGGGUGCACACAUUAAUCAUGGAAAAAAUGAUAAAAGUGCAAUUUCUGUUAAGAAACAGAAACUAACAUCACAUAGCCCUCUUCCAACAGCAUUUCGGGCAUCAAGAUGAGCUCAAAUGAAAAUGGUGCAAUGGGAUGAAAUGAUCUACUCUUCGAGAUGAACAAUUUGGUAUGCUACACGCCCAAAACGGAGCCACGGGUGCGGAGAUGUGAUGCGAUGAAAAUGCAAUGAUUUAACACAGAAUUUAUGACUUAGACGAAUUUUUGGAGGGGAAAAAGUCAACCAUGGAGUUUUUGGAUCUGGAUCCAGAUCGGAUCGGGGUCGCCGGAGUUCGUCGGACGGAGUGGAGGUCGGGCCAGAGGAGGACGGUCGCCGAUGGGGGAGCUCCGGCCGGAGGGAGGAGAGGCCGGGNNNNNNNNNNNNNNNNNNNNNNNNNNNNNNNNNNNNNNNNNNNNNNNNNNNNNNNNNNNNNNNNNNNNNNNNNNNNNNNNNNNNNNNNNNNNNNNNNNNNNNNNNNNNNNNNNNNNNNNNNNNNNNNNNNNNNNNNNNNNNNNNNNNNNNNNNNNNNNNNNNNNNNNNNNNNNNNNNNNNNNNNNNNNNNNNNNNNNNNNNNNNNNNNNNNNNNNNNNNNNNNNNNNNNNNNNNNNNNNNNNNNNNNNNNNNNNNNNNNNNNNNNNNNNNNNNNNNNNNNNNNNNNNNNNNNNNNNNNNNNNNNNNNNNNNNNNNNNNNNNNNNNNNNNNNNNNNNNNNNNNNNNNNNNNNNGCGGCGGCUGGGGCCACGUGGCGCUGCCUGAUUCGUCCGGCGGCGCGGGCGGACGUGUCCGGCCGCCCGGAUUUCGUCCGGCGGCGCGAGGGGAGCGGGAAGACUAGGGUUUCGUCCGGAUUUCGGGGAAGGGGUCUAUAUUUAUAGGUAGAGGGAGCUAGGUGUGUCCAAAUGAGGUGCGGUUUUCGCCCACAUGAUCGUGAUCGAACGACCGAGAGCAUGGAGGUGACUUAGAUGGGUUAUUGGGCUGUUUUGGAGGGGUGUUGGGCUGCAACUUAAAAGAGGCCUUUGCAAGAGUGCGGUUAACCGUUGGAGUACCAAACGAACUCCAAAUGACCCGAAACUUGACAGGUGGCCUACCGGUGCUAUACCAGGGCCACUUGGCAAGGCUCGGUCCAUUCCGAGAAUGUUCAACACCCGCACACGGAAAAAUGUAAAAGGGGACGCCGGGGGACAUAGGAGUGCCGGAUUGCAAAACGGACAACGGGGAAAAUGCUCGGAAUCAUGAGACGAACACGUAUGCAAGUGAGAUGCACAUGAUGACAUGAUAUGAGAUGCAUGACAUGGAAAAAAAGCAAAACGAAAACAAAACCCAACCACGGAGGGAAUAUCAUAGCACAUAUCCGAAAAUGGCAAGAGUUGGAGUUACAAAUAUGGAAAGUUACAUCCGGGGUGUUACAGUUGCGCGAGUCCACGGAGGGUGCACGAAGUAGCAACCUUGUCUAUCCCACCAUGGCCAUCGCCCAUGAAGGAUUUGCCUCACUUGGGUAGAUCUUCAUGAAGUAGGAGAUCUCCUUGCCCUUACAAACUCCUUGGUUCAACUCUGCAAUCUUGACGGAGGCUCCCAAGUUACACCUAACCAAUCUAGGAGACAACACUCUCCAAAAGGUAAUACAUGGUGUGUUGUUGAUGAACUCCUUGCUCUUGUGCUUCAAAUGAUAGUCUUCCCAACACUCAACUCUCUCACAUAGAUUUGGAUAUGGUCGAAAGAUGAUUUGAGUGGAAAGUAACUUGGGGAAGGCUAUAGAUCAAGAUUCUUGUGGUAGGAUUGGAAUUUCUUGGUCUCAACACAUGAGUAGGUCGUUCUCUCUCAGAAAAUGAGUAGUGGAAGUGUAGGCACGUUCUGAUGGCUCUCUCACAAAUGGAGAAGGGGUGGAGGGGUAUGUCGUGGUGGAAACGAGCACCUAUGGGGCAGGGCCCCUUUUCUGGCCCGGCAGGGAGCGGAGGGCGCACGAAGAGCAGAUCGAGGUCGAGCACGCGGGGGAGAUUUUACCCAGCUUCGAAGCUCUCCGGAGAGAUAAAACUCCUACUGCUGCUUUGUGUAUAUAUUCUGUUCUUGCUCGAAAGCGGGGGUAUGCUGUGGUCUCCAGUGAGUCGAACUGGCCUGAACCGAACCCCUUCUAUGUGUGCACGGCCCUCCUUUUUAUAGUCUAAAGGGGUCACCGACAGGUGGCAACGCAGAGAGAGGGGUGGAAAGGUAAAAACGCGGGUUGGUACAACUGCUAUCUACAGUGCCCCCUACCUAACUCUGACGGCAGGGGACAACAGCAUUUAAUGCCCGUCCGGUCGCUCCAACAGUGCAGGAAACGACCGUUAGGGGCGCCAUCGAUCGCCACGAUGGCCUCCUAGUCACCUUCGCUCGCCACCUCGCACCGCUAGGCUGCACAUCUACACGCCACGUGCACCAGGAAUGAUCCUGUGGCGACACGUCGUCGGGUGAGCUGCAGCCUGGGCGCAGAGUGGUGGCUUCGCCGCGGCAAGCGCCUUGCCGCGGUCGCUGUCUUGUCGCACCCGCGAGCUUGCCGCUUGUCGGGCCUUGCCGGGACGCGUGGUGCGUCGCGGCAAGUCUCCUGGAGUGCCUUGGUUGGCCUUCCUGGCAAGCUCCUCUUGCCGGGGUCUUGUCCUUCCCGGCAAGCUUCUCUUGCCGGGGCCUUGUCCUUCCCGGCAAGCUCCUCUUGUUGGGGCCUUGUCUUCAAAGUUGACACUUUGUUCUUGAAUGGUAGUAAAAUGGGAAUGAUGAAGGGUCUUGGCGGGCAUCCGGCAAGCCUUGCCGCGGGACGCUGCGACUGCCCGUGCACAAGUUCGGGGUACUAAGGUACCUCUACUUUAGUACACCGACAGGAGCCCCCGGGCCUGGGUCAUACACGGUGCCGAGCGCUGUUGGGUCAGGCCCAAAAUAGGGCACGGGCACGCGCGGCCUGGGUCCAAACCAGAUCCAUUCCGAAUCCACCGCGUCCUCCCGUAACGGCACGCGUCAAUCGCGGCGUCGUGGGAGACGUGGGUGGCGUGCGCGAUUUUCGAGGCGUCCACCCCCCGUGAUCACGGGGCGGGGCGAGGUCACCUCAUCCUUCGCCUCGGCUCUGCAUCCCCGCCAUGCGGCUCCCAUGCGCUUGAGUCACGGACGGUGGGAGUGGGAAACCGAGCCAUUGUGAUUCCCGUCCUUGAUUGGCUGAGCGGGGCGGCCGAGCCCCCACCCGUCUCCUUUAAGAAGGGCGAGAGGGGAGCGCAGAAUCCCGCACUCUCCCAUCUCUUCUCUUUCUUUAGCUUCUGCUCCCCUUUCUCACAUUCGCCAUGGAGAAAGGAAACCCUGGCUCUUCAUCGGUGGUGGCGAGGGUCGCCACCAGGCAGCGCACCUCUCCCUAUCCCGCGCCUGUGGUGGCAGAGCCAGCCACAAGGGGAAGAGGGAGGGGGAGAGGUCGUGGACGAGGUCGAGGACGAGGUAGGAGCGCUCGGGGAAGAGGCGGAUGGGGCGGCGCGCCAUCUCCGCCUCCGCCGGCGGUUCCUCUCCACAUGGCGGUCCAUACCGGGGACGACCCUUGCGAGUUCUUCGUCAGGCUGCGCCGGGCGCCUCGUCGUCGCCUCCGGCUUCCAGCUCCGUUUGCAAAUGCGAUGGAGUUGGACCCGCCCGAGACACUGAGAUUGCACACGAGGGGCUGUGGAAUCAGCGGUACGCGAGUCCACGUUGUAUUCCCAGCCCCUAAUGUGAUGUAUCUUGAUCGUGGGUGGAAGACGUUCGCUUGCAUCCACAGCUUGACGGCGGGGUUUACCCUCCAUUUUAAGUUAAUGGAGGGCGACCUUCUCUCCGUCAAGGUCUUCGGGGACUCCGGCUUUCGGGCGAGGUGCUGCGUGGACAGCUCCUCCGACAGCGAAGGUUCUUCCUCGAGCGAGAGUGACGAGGAGGAGAGCGACAGCGACGACGAGGGUAGCGGGCGGCGGGAUGACGGGCCCGACUAGGUGUCGGGCGUCGCUUCACGCGCCACCGGCGACCCCAUCAUCCGUGUCGCUGGCUCCUUGAACUCCCCGGGGUCGUCUCCUUGGGCGGCUGGCGUGGGGAGGCUGCGGAAGAGGAAGAGGGUUGGCGGCAAGGCCGUCAAGUUGGAGUACGAGGGCGUAGUGCCCUCGACAGCAUGCUAACGUCCUGUCGCCCCGUCUUCGAGCUCUGCUUCCGGCGCCGCCAUCACCGUCCAGCCUUCGGACGGCCCCUGGGAUGUUCUCUUGGUGUCUUUUGGCACCCAUAGCUCGCCUAGGCGCCCCUUUUGCCCUUUUCGCCUCCUUAACCUACCUCCUGAAAGGAGGGACAGGAGAAGGGAUUACAGGCAUCUUAUCUUUUCAAUUUGUAAGCCUUCGGCCUUAGCUGCAUUUAAAACUUGUAAUCCUCUCUUUCAUGUUUUUCAUCCUCUAUGGACUGUAUCUGUGUGGGAUGUUUUUUUAAUGAAAAAGGGGAUGCUUGCCGGGUUUUUUUUGUCUUGCGGGUUGAGCCCACGUCAAGGAGCUAAUCCUUGGUAUCCCUCGGACAGACAUUUCACCUUCCGGCAACUGGCCCCGCCGCCUCCCCGCCUCAUCCCUUGUAUGUUUUUACCCCACGCUUUUAGGGAAACUCGCCGGCGCUAACACGCUUGCCGUGAGCGCUGAGUGCGGAACAUCAGCAACUUGUUGGCGGUGUUGCCUCCGGCAAGAAACCUCGCCGGGGCUAGUUGCAGCGCGCUUUCAUUGUUGAGUGGACUCGAAACAAAGUAAGGGCGCAACUUAGCCACGAGCCGGUUCCUCCGCGCACAGGUUUUCCAUACAAGGCAUGGCAGUUUUCGGGAAGAAACGUGGUUUCGCAUUCCCCAGUCCAUAAGAGGAUGCAUGAUGAGGGAUGAAAGACUUAUCUGAUAUCGCAGCCCCCGGCAACCCUGGCUUGCCGUGGAAGAAUCUUGGUACUCGCAGCCCCCAGCAAUACUGGCUUGCCGGGGCCCAGGUGCCGGCGCACCCUUCUGCUCCUUUCCUUGUCGCUGUUAUUUUAGUUAUGGAAAUAAUUUAGUCAGUACCGUAAUAAGUUACUUUGUAAUAUAAUUUCAUUCUGGGCAACUGCUUGCUAUGUUAUCUCCUUUACUUGAUUCCAUCCCUUGUAUGUUUUUACCCUUGCGCUUUUAGGGAACUUGCCGGUGCAAACACACUUGCUGAGUGUGGAACAUCAGCAGCCCGCUGGCGGUGUUGCCUCUGGCAAGAAACCUUGUCGGGGCUAGUUGCAGCUCACUUGUGUCGUUGAGCGGACUUGAAACAAAUUAAGGGCGCAACUUAUCCACAAGUCGAUUCCUCCGUGCACAGGUUUUCCAUACAAGGCACGGUCGUUCAAGGAAUAUAACUCAAAAAUUUGAAACUGACUGUGCUCUGUGCUCAAAUCUUGGCAACUUAGCUUUUCUGUCAUCUGUGUCCCGGCAAGGUUGCACUUCUUUGAACGACGCCAAUUGCUAUGUUAUCUCCUUUAUUUGAUUCCAUCCCUUGUAUGUUUUUACCAUUAUGCUUUUAGGGAGCUUGCCGGCGCAAACACGCUCGCCGCGAGCGCUGAGUGCGGAACAUCAGCAGCUUGCCGGCGGUGUUGCCCCCGGCAAGAAACCUUGUCGGGGCCAGUUGCAGCACACUUUCAUUGUUGAGCGGACUCGAAACAAAGUAAGGGCGCAACUUGGCCACGAGCUGGUUCCUCCGCGCACAGGUUUUCCAUACAAGGCACGGUCGUUCAAGGAAUAUAAGAUAAGAACUUAAAAACGACUGUGCUCUACUUGCCGGUGGAGCUCGAUGGCACGUCCUCGACGGCAGCGCAGCACUCCGAAGAGGUGCGCUUGCCGGAGUGGGCACCAGAGCUAUUCUUGCCGGACUUAGUCUCGACGGCAGCGCAACACUCCGAAGAGGUGCGCUUGCUGGAGCAGGCACCAGAGCUAUUCUUGCCGGACUUAGUCUUCUUCUUCUUUCCCCCGGGAGCUUCAGUGGCAAGUGGUUUGCGCUCUGCUGCGGCUGCUGCUUCCCGGUAGAUCUUGUCGGUACAGAUAAGUGCAUCCUUCUUGUCGCCGUGGACAGAAAUGACACUUAUUGGACCGGGCAUCUUGAGCACAUUGUAGGGCAUAGUGAGAGGCUACCAUGAACUUGGCAAGUGCCGGACGGCCGAGUAUCCCAUUGUAGGGCAAUGGGAAAUCAGCAACGUCAAAUGUGACUCUCUCUGUUCUGAAAUUCACCUCGCUGCCAAACGUCACUGGCAGUGUGAUCUUCCCAUUCGGCUUGCUCCUUCCCGGGUUGAUUCCUUGAAAGGUACCAGUUUCUUCGAGCUCGCUGUGGGGGAUCUAGAGCUUUUUGAGCACCGCGGAAGAGAUCAGAUUUAGGCCGGCCCCGCCGUCAACCAACAUCUUUGUGACCUUGAGGUUGCGGAUGGUUGGCGAAACCAACAUCGGCAAGCACCCAACCGCAGUGAUGCGAUCAGGGUGAUCCUCAACAUCAAAGACGAUGGGCGUGCUGGACCACUUCAGGGGCUUGCGCGAUUCGACUGAUGGUUCUGCCGCAUUCACCUCCCGCACCCAUUGUUUGAGUUGACGGUGCGAGGUGUGCAGAGAAGCACCGCCGUCAACGCACAAAACCUCCGUCGCCUUCUGAACCUCUUGAUCAUCGGUCUCAUCCUCAUCCAUCUCAUCAUCCUCAUCUUCUUCUUCGUCCUUGUCGCGGCCACGGGGAGGUCUAUCUCCUUGCCGCUGCUUGGCCUUGCCGCGGCGCCCUCCCCGGGCGGGAAGCUUCUUGCCGGAUCCUCCGCCACCUUCCCGGGCCUUCUCCUUGUCGCGACGCUCAUAUUCAGCUUUCUGUAGCUCUGCCAUCUGCUCAACCUUCUUGCAUGCUUGGAGGUCAUGGCCCUUGGUGCGAUGGAUCUUGCAGUACUGCUUGCCGGAGCCGUCCUACUUGUCGGCGGCCACCACAGCCUCGCCGGAGUCGCCAGCUUUGGCCUUGUCGGAGCCGCCUCCGUUGCCGAACUGCUCAACAACUAGCACAUCCUUGGCCUUUCUCUUUCUGUUAUUCCGCCUCCGGUUCCUCUUUGCCGGGGGGCGUCCUCACUGUCAGAUCCUUCUGCUCCUACAUUCUCUCCGGGGAGUUUCCUCCCCUCUUCAGCACGUGCACACUUGUCGGCCAGAGCAUAUAGCUCACUGACAUCUCUAAUCUUGCACAUCGCCAUCUCCUCCCUCAUCCUGCGGUUACGCACGUUCUGAUGGAACGCGCUGAUAACCACGGCAGGGUGGACGUCUGGGAUGUUGCGCUGCACUUGGCUGAAUCGCUGUAUGUACUUGCGCAGGGAUUCUCCUUCCUUCUGGGCAAGCAAAUGAAGAUCGCUUUCCUGGCCAUGGUGCUUGUGGCCGCCUAUGAAUGCGCCGACAAACUGAUGGCACAGGUCCGCCCACGAAGAAAUGGAGCUGUCCGGCAAGUGCAUGAGCCAAGAUCUGACGUUGGGCUUGAGCACCAGCGGGUAGUAGUUGGCGAGGAUCUUCUCAUUGCGCCCCCCGGCAGCCUGCACCGCUAUGGUGUAGAUGCUGAGGAACUCUGACGGAUGGAUCCUACCAUCGUACUUCUCGGGCACGUCUGGUUUGAAGUUCUUGGUGCUGGCCGACUGGACUUGCCGCAGCUCACGAGUGAACGCAGGGCAACCUACCGCGUACGGCAAGUCGCCUGGUUCCCCCGGUGCAUGCAUAUCGACAGUGGGCCCAGCGCGCUGGUCAGACUGACGUCGCGCUUCUCUUCUGCACUCGAUGUGAGUACGAGCGUCUUCGUGUCGUCGUUCUUGGAGAACAUGGUGUUGAUCGCGGCGAGCUCGCGGAUCCGACAAUGCAGUGGAGUCGGUGUCGAGGUUGGCCCGACGAGUCGGCGAUCUUAGCCUUCGGGGCGGGGAGUGCACAGUGGUGGCACCCCCAGCGGUCUUGUCGGCGUCGGCUCGCGCCUGGGCGUCUUGCCGGGGCUUCGAUGUGCUCGGUUGCCAGGGCUUGUCAGCGUUGGCGAAGCCGACGAGGCUCUGAAUGGUAAUCCUCCAGUCGUCAAUCUUGUGCGGCGCCGGAGGGUAAUCUAGAAGCAGCUGAGCUCGGGCCAGCGCUUCUUCUGGAGUCUUGGGCGGCGGUGGCGAGCGGCACGAGUUGCGGGAUAUACUCGGACUCCCAACUGGGUUGGAAGGAGCAGUACCCCGUCCGGGCGACCGCACCUCACUCGUGCCAGCAUGCUGGCGUGCAUGCUGGUCUUGAACGUCCCGCGACCCGCCAGCUUGGCCUUUUUCCAACGCGAGCACGGUGCUAGGAGCACCGUGGCGCCGUCGAUCUUGCCCCUCCUGGGAGGGGUGCGGAGACCGCAUCAGAUUCGCACAACCUCGACACCCCCUACCUGGCGCGCCAAAGAUGUCAUGGUGGAAACGAGCACCUAUGGGGCAGGGCCCCUUUUCUGGUCCGGCAGGGAGCGGAGGGCGCACGAAGAGCAGAUCGAGGUCGAGCACGCGGGGGAGAUUUUACCCAGCUUCGGAGCUCUCCAGCGAGAUAAAACUCCCACUGUUGCUUUGUGUAUAUAUUCUGUUCUUGCUCGAAAGCGGGGGUAUGCUGUGGUCUCCAGUGAGUCGAACUGGCCUGAACCGAACCCCUUCUACGUGCGCACGGGCCUCCUUUUUAUAGUCUAAAGGGGUCACCGACAGGUGGCAACGCAGAGAGGGGUGGAAAGGUAAAAACGCAGGUUGGUACAACUGCUAUCUACAGUGCCCCCUACCUAACUCUGACGGCAGGGGACAAGAGCAUUUAAUGCCCGUCUGGUCGCUCCAACAGUGCAGGAAACGACCGUUAGGGGCGCCAUCGAUCGCCACAAUGGCCUCCUAGUCACCUUCGCUCGCCACCUCGCACCGCUAGGCUACACAGCUACAUGCCACGUGCACCAGGAAUGAUCCUGUGGCGACACGUCGUCGGGUGAGCUGGAGCGUGGGCGCAGAGUGGUGGCUUCGCCGCGGCAAGCGCCUUGCCGCGGUCGCUGUCUUGUCGCACCCGCGAGCUUGCCGCUCGUCGGGCCUUGCCGGGACGCGCGGUGCGACGCGGCAAGUCUCCUGGAGUGCCUUGGUUGGCCUUCCCGGCAAGCUCCUCUUGCCGGGGUCUUGUCCUUCCCGGCAAGCUUUUCUUGCCGGGGCCUUGACCUUCCCGGCAAGCUCCUCUUGCUGGGGCCUUGUCUUCAAAGUUGACACUUUGUUCUUGAAUGGUAGUAAAAUGGGAACGACGAAGGGUCUUGGCGGGCGUCCGGCAAGCCUUGCCGCGGUACCCCUACUUUAGUACACCGACAGGGUAUAUAUAUCCUCCACACAAAAUCUAAUCGUUACACACAAUUUACCAAACUCGGUGAGACCGAAUAGUGGAACUCGGUGGGACCGAUCUAGUUCAAAAUGUGAACAUUAGGCUUUUCGGUGGGACCGACAAAAUCAACUCGGUGGGACCGAUGCGCUAGGGUUAGGGCAAAACCUCAUCUCGAUGAGACCGAUUACAUGAAAUCGGUGAGACCGAUUUCAGUGAUAAGCAAACAGAGACUUGGUCAGGUAAACCCGGUGGGACCGAUCGCUCAUUUCGGUGCGACCGAAACGUUAUGAAAAGGAAACAGAGAGUUUGCAUUGCAAACUCGGUGGGACCGAUCGCUCAUCUCAGUAAGACCGAAAUGUUACGAAGGGAAACAGAGAGUUUGCAAUCCCAUCUCGGUGAGACUGAGAUCCCUAUCAGUGAGAUCGAACUGAUUAGGGUUUUUGGCUAUGGCUAUGUCAAGGGAACUCGGUGGUGCGAGAUAGAUCAAAUCUGUGGGGCCGAGUUUGACUUUAGGUUUAGGACAUAUGUGGAAAUGAGAAAGUGGUUGGGGGCUUUUGGAGCAUAUCACUAAGCAUUUUGAGCAAGCAAGCCAUUAAGCAACACCUCAUCCCCUUUUAAUAGUAUUGGCUUUUCCUAUGGACUCAAUGUGAUCUUGGAUCACUAAAAUAAAAAUGAAGAGUCUUGAGCUUUUGCAAUAUGUGUCCUUAGCAUUUUGAGGGGUCCACAUCUCUAGUCCAUGCCAUACCAAUCAUUGAUCUUUCUGAAACAUUAAUCUUGAAUGAUAUUAGUUCAAUGAGCUAUAUGCUGUUAUGAAUUACCAAAAUCACCCGAGAAUUAGUUGCAAUUUCAAUCUCCCUCUUUUGGGUAACUGAUGACAACAUAUAGAUCAAAGCUUCGACAAAAGAUAAUAUAAAUGAAGUACAUCAUUGCUUUGAGAAGUAUGUGAUAAACAAGAGCUCCUCCUAAAUUUGUACAUUAUUUAAAAUUUGCUUUUGAAUGCAAAUCCACAAUCGAUUAGGAUCAUGGGUUAAUCUUCCAUGUCACAUACAUCUUGGUGGAGCGCUCAAAAUGAUAGAAUAAAAAAUAUGGACUCAUCACGAAGGCAAGAUAUUAAUGAUCAUACAUAAGAGAUAGAAUGUCAUCAUUCAAGAACGCAUUUAAGCAUAAUAUGAUCAAACACAUGAUCAUAGGAGUAUCUCACACACAAGAACAAAUAGUGUAUCAACCAAACAAGCAAGCAAAAAGGUAGCAAGAGAGGCAAAAUAAGCAAAACACACACACACUCUCUCUCUCUCGAAGCAUAUGAUCUAUACACUUUCUCCCCUUUGGCAACAAGUUACCAAAAAGCUUGAAAAUGCAUAGUAUUAUGCGGAUCUCUAAGCAUGAUCUCCGGGAGCUUCGUGUGCGAAGGUGGCAUGGAGAGGAGUCCUGGAACAAAUGCAUCUAAAGAGAUUUGUGGAGCUGGUGGAGUUGCAACUGGAGGGCAACUAAGGUUGUAGCUGAUGGUGCUAAAGUAGUACCCCCAGUGUCACUGGCUGGCAUAACUGCAGACCUUUGUGCCCUUGGCACUCUCUAAAAAACUUCAGUAGUAGCUCUCCCACUUCUCUCUUCAGCUUCUUCCUGGAGCUGCUCAACUAUAGUCUGGAUCUCUGUGACCUUCAAGUCUAGGUCAUAAAACUUUGUCUCGAUGAUCCUCUCAAGACUCUCUUGAUUUUGUGUCAGGGUUUCCAAUCCUUUCUCAAUUCUCACAGUGGCCUCAACCAGAUAGCUGAGUUGAUCCUACUUGGUCUUGAGGUGUACAUCGGAAGCAUCUGGAACUUGUGAAGAUUGUGUUGCCUUCUCUGCCUUUUCUUUUUCCCUCUUCUCCCGAGCCUCUACUAAUGUACGAUGUGAAGCAUACAUGACAGCCUCAUUGUCAUCAAACUCAGGCAACAGGGGAAGGUGCUCCUUUACCAAAAGAUAUAUGCCUUUCCCAUCUUAGAGUUGAUGAGCAUAUGAAUGUGUGGAGCAUAGCCACAUGAUCUCUUCUGACUAGUAGCAGUCCUCUUUAUUGUCUCAACAAUCAAGGUCAUUACCUUGAACUUCUCUGGCACAUCAAACAUAUGCAGCAAGUUAAAUGAAUGCCCUCUGAUCAUUUUGUAAUCUACAGACUUGGCUAACAAUGUGUGCCUUAAAAUAGUGUUGAUGGUGGGCAGCCCAGACAGCAGAUAAUAUACUGAGCCAUAUUUGUGAGUCUCCAAGGCAGCAUCCAGAAUCUCGUUGUACAUUUGUGCCAUGGAGUUGUGUCCUUUCGUGGGCAUGGCAUAUACAUCUGCAUCAUCUUCUUGUUCUUCAGGGGCAUUGAUUAGCUAGUCCCACUCAACAACAGAAGAUUGGUACCUUGUACCCUCAGUCAUCCGGACAAUUUUACCAUCUGGGUAGAAAUGUGCAGUGGAGUGGAACUACAUCACCAUCUCAUCAUUCCAUUUACACUACUAGGGAAAACCCUAGUAGUAGCGCGGGUUUAAUGCCCACUAGUAGCGCGGGCAGCCGCGCUACUAAUAAGGCGCUACAGCUAUUACUUAGCAGUAGCGCGUACGACACGCACUACUGCUAAGACACAUAGCAGCAGCGCUUGUUAUCUCCCGCGCUGCUGCUAAUCUAGCUAGUAGCAGCAUGUUUACUAUCCAUCGCAAUUAGUAUUCUUUUUUUAUUUUUUUAUUUUUAGUGUAUUUAUACGCCGUUAUACAAAUUUUGGUAGAAUACCAAUUAUGAGGUUUAUAUCAUUAUGUCCAUAACAGUGUGUCAAAUGAAGGUGGAUUAGGUUCUAGUGGAGGCAAUAUGUGGUGCAUGUCAAAAGUAUACUACUAAUACAAACUUGAUCUAGUUUGGACUAGUAGUACUUUCGAUGUGCACCACAUGUUGCCUCCACUUGAAUCUAAUCCGCCAGCACAAGCUAUUUAAUCAUCAUCAUAGUCAUUAGCACCAAUGGUAUUUAUUUAAUCACCACUAACACUAGCUCAUAAUAAUCAUCAUAGUCAUUACCACCAACACUAGCUAUUUAAUCAUCAUAGUCAUAGUGUAGCACUUCAUCAUAUUUAAACUCAUUUCUAGCUAGCUAAUCACUCCUGCUGCUCUCUCUCAGGUAAAAUAACAUAAAACAUGUGUAGCUCGCCUCCUUCAUCAAGUUGGAGCAUGCAGAUGAAACUGUCUCUUAAUCGUGGGCUGCGCUUCUGCUUGCUGCCCCCUAGUACUUGUCUGCGCUCCUCCAUCACAGAUUUGGUCCGGUCUUUCACUAUUAAGAAUUCAUCGCUAAUCCUGAAUGCACUAUAGUGAUUUGUAGAUUAUCUUGGCCAUAAGCUAACAAUACUCAUGGCACCUUUAGUCUCAAUCCCAUAAGGCACAACAUUCAUCGGGAGUCCCUGUUGAAGAACAUCGUAUGGUAACAUACUUAGCAAUGAAGUUUAGCUUAAAAAAUAAUGUAUGGAAAAGAUGCACUAAGCAGAAAUAGUAAAAAUCUUACCAUCUUUCCUAAAUAGAUGUGAUCGUAGUUCAUUACGAACACUAUUGGUCGCACGUUUUCCGUACUAACAUUUCUAAAUCUAGGAAGAAAAUUUGUCUUGACAGUAUCAAGAUCCGCAAGCCAUGAAACAUAAUGACUUAGCUCCUCGCAGUUUUGUUCAGCCCCGGGAUAGUAGUAGUCCUGUCUACCAAGCGUUGGACAUGUUUGCUUGAACGGAAAUAAGCUAACAAUAGAAAUUAGUUGUCAACUAUUUUUGAAUAAACAAUAUCAAAGACAUAAAUAUGGUUGAGAAACUCACAUAAUGGUAUAACUGGAGGCGUCUGCACAUUGACCCAGAUGUCGGUAUUACCUUCAACAUCAUCUUGCGGACGAAUAUGAAAGGUGAUAACCAUAUGAGGCUCAAAUGCAUAAGUCUUGCAUAGUGCUCGCCAUGUUUUGCAUCCAAAAUAGGUGUAGUCGUCUGAAUUGUAUAAUUUUGCGUGGAAAAUAUAACCAUGCUCGGUCUUCAAGUAAACUUUCUUUACCUCCAUAGUACGACUGAAACCUAUCUUAUCCAAUACAAAAACUCUUGCAUGGCAGGGGAUACGCUAGUAGAAUAGUAAAAAAAUAUAAGUUGAAGCAAAUGAAGCAGAUGUCAUGCUUAAUUCCGAAAAAAGACUUCUCGUUGUGACUUACUGUAUUUGCAAAUACCGAAAUCCUUUUCGUCAUCAGACAUUUCCUAUGUUCAUAGUUAAAACAUUAAUUUAAAAUCGAUCGAAGACAACUACCAGGAUACUCAACACACAAAUCCGGGGAACUCGAUAUUUCCUACAUAUUCUGGCACAAGUCAUGCCAAAAUUCACGGAAAAAUCCGGCAUGACCUUUGCUAAAAUAGGACAUAUCAAGCACCUGAAAUUUGUUGGGACGGAAAUGAAUCAACACUCUGGCAAAACAUAGGCCACUCGGAGGUGUAACCUGCAAACAUGACCGGCCACUUGGGCAAGCACAUAUCAUAUUUGAGCAACAGAAGAUAUACAUUUCAAAAUAUCUUAUAGGACUCAAAUUAGCAUGCAUUCAAUAAGCAAAAGUAAAUCAUCUCAUGUGUCCAUACAUCGUCGAAUAUUAUCACUAAUACAUCCCGAAUACUAUCAUAUAUAUAACAUCACUAAUACAACUAAAACCCUAGCACACGACGGGUAUCGGCGCGGGUGGUGGACACCCACAGAGAAGGAACCAUCAUGGGAUCAUAGCUCCAGUGAGAUCCGUGGAGAACCUGCCAGGUAUUAGAGAACCUGUGCUCCAACGCAAACAAGUAGCGACGGACGUGCGAGUCCUCUUCACUGACACGGUGAUGCACCACCUCUGUGGGGUCCUCGAGCCUCUGGACCGUCACUGGCCCACGCGACCGCCACCAAAGAAGGUUCGGGUCAACGACAGGCUAGCUCCUCUCCAACCUGCGCCCCCCGGUAGGUAGCGCUUCCUAGUACCACCCCGGCGGAGCCCAGUCCCGGACAUGGCCCAUCUGGUCAAGCAGGUGUCAUCCUCCGCCGACUCGACGACGAGGAUGCGAGAUAGGCAUCAUCCACGUCGAUGCGGGAAAAAUUUCUUUAACUAAAAAAAUAGCAACAAGUUCUUACUAACUAGUUCUAUUAAUUCAGCUAGUUCUUACUAAAAAUAAACUUACUAUAAAUAAAAAUAAACUAGUACCUAAUUAGUACCAAGUUCUUACUAACUAAUUAGUACCUUGGAACUACUGCCCUAAUUACCAUAUAAGUAUCCAUUUUUUAACUAGGGUUCAUACUACCUAAUUAAAUAGGGUUAAUACUAAUUGUAAUUAACUAACUAGCACUAAAAAUAGCCUAGGGUUCAUACUAACUAGCACUAAAUAGCUAGGGUUCAUACUAACAGAGAGCAGAGAAGAGGGAAGGGGAGAGUGCUUAUAGAGGGCGGGGAGGGAGAUGGGGUCGGGGAAGACGGCGACAUCAAGGUGCGGUGAGGCGGGGUCGGGGGAGACGGCGGCGAGGCGGAUCGAGGGAGACGGUGGCGGAGAGCGACGGUAGGGGCUCCGGCAAGGUCGGUGAGGGAGUCCUGGACUAGGGGGUGUCCGGACAGCCGGACUAUCAUUAUCCGCCGGACUCCCAGACUAUGAAGAUAGAAGAUUGAAGACUCCGGCUCGUGUCCGGAAGGUACUUUCCUUGGUGUGGAAGGCAAGCUUGGCAAUACGGAUAUGUGGAUCUCCUACCAUUGAAACCGACUCUGUGUAAUCCUAGCCUCUCCGGUGUCUAUAUAAACCGGAGGGCUUUAGUCCGUAGGACGAACAUUACAUCACAACAAUCAUACCAUAGGCUAGCUUCUAGGGUUUAGCCUCCUUGAUCUCGUGGUAGAUCUACUCUUGUACUACCUACAUCAUCAAUAUUAAUCAAGCAGGACGUAGGGUUUUACCUCCAUCGAGAGGGCCCGAACCUGGGUAAAAACACUGUGUCCCUUGCCUCCUGUUACCAUCCGCCUAGACGCACAGUUCGGGACCCCCUACCCGAGAUCCGCCGGUUUUGACACCGACAUUGGUGCUUUCAUUGAGAGUUCCUCUGUGUCGUCGCCGAUAGAGCGGAUGCCUUUACCCGUCUUCAAAGAUGGUGUUUUCGCCGGAGGGGCCUUGGCCGCCGGCCAAACUAUCCGGCUUGGUGGCUUUCUUAUGACCGCCUGUCCGGCUGCCGCUUCGGCAAUGACUUCUCAAGUCGUCGGAAGCAAUCUUCGCGUCAGCCCUAAAGCUGCCGAACAGUUAGAUCCAAUUGAGCUCUCGUCUGUUAACGAGCUCUUGGAUCGCAUCGCCGCCCUCGGAGUCGCUACAAACUACAAUCAGAUCGGGCUUAAAACCGACCUGAGAGAGAUUAACUCUCCCCAGGCCACCCACCACGUCGCUGUGGUAGAGGAACAACUCGGCAAUUCUUUGCCAGUGUUGAAAACAAUCCGUGUCCGGAUUCCCGAACCCUCCAUGCCGGAUUCCCGCGGAGGGACGGACUUUGAUCGAGCAUUGAACCUAAAAUCAUGCGUCGCUCCGGACUCGCUGGACUGUCUCCAGCAAACCAAGCUUCCGAAUUCGGAAGCCCCUCGGCCUUUGAGCCCAAAGAUGGGCAGGGAUCCGGAUUUUAACCCACCCACCCGCCCGGACACAUGCGAUCUAUCUCUAAUACGGCAAGAGCCUUCAGAAACAGUACAUCAUUACUGGGCCAGAUUCCUCCUGGUUAUGGACAGGAUAAAGGACUGCCAAGAGGAAAACGCAAUCUCAAUCUUCUGCAAUAACUGCACGGACAAGGGAAUUCUGAACGCCAUUGAUAGUCGCAAGAUUACGCGCUUCACCGAUCUGGCGUCCAUAGUACGAAAGUACUGUGCGAUGGAAAGUUUCCGAAAAACUAAAAAUCAAUUUUGGGAUAAUCCGGCCCCAAACCCAGUCCGCAGCAAAAGGGCGCCGUACACUCGCGCCCCAGAGGCAAAAACCAAGAAACAGAAACCCGAUAAGGGAAACGGAA